UUCCAUAUUAUAUGGUAUAGUAUAACAUAUAUUUUAAUAACUAUAGAUGCAGAACAGCCUUGCUCAAGGCAUGUUCCUGGCAGGGGGGCGCGGGGGCUACGCGGGGCCCCCUCUACAGGGCCCUCUAGCUUACUUGGAGAAGACCGCUACCAAUAUAGACAUGGUGGGUCUGGGUGAUGGGAGGAGGUGACGCGGCCGCGGGAGGGGCAGGGGUAGAGGCCGCGGCAGAGGCCGAGGUCGUGGAGCUUCCCCUGAGUAUGGUGGCAGCAUGACGCCGCCAUAGCGCCCUCCCGCCCGCCCGGGUACACUACCAUUACUCACACUACUUGUACACUAACACGCACUACCUCUAUUAAAAUACCCUGGACAGGCCACUAGUUCCGACGCAAUAUUAUAUUCAUUUUUACAUUAAUUUUCGUGAGGAUUAUUCAUACUAAAAUGAUGCAACGGUUUACUCACGCGUAGUUAUCGGGGUAGUCCGACUAGUUUCGGACCCAACCGGACUCCUUAAUCGUGAGCUGACGCGGCGGGCGAGCGAGUCAUAUCAUUAAUUUUGCGAAGCUAAGCCAAAAUGGCUUUUCGAUAAAUAAAAAAUCUCUCUCGAUUAUUUGUUAUAUUUUUUUUGUGGUAAACCAAACAACCCAGUUGUCGCCCAGGUAACUGGGUUGAGGAGGUCAGAUAGGGAGUCGCUCCUUGUACAACACUGGUAUAGUUACCGUCACGGAUGUUGAGCGCUCGGCGGAAGAGAGGGGGUAGCUUUGCGCAUCGUACACUCAUGACAAAAUGAGUCGUCUUGAGAUGCAUGCAACUGCAGCAAAGAACGAAUUUCAACGAAUCCCUCAUGUCGGCUAUGACGCGAUGCGCUGCGGGACAAUCACUGCACUUGAGUCCGCCCCGCGCCUCACUUCAUACCGCUAAACGACAUAAACAAUCACUUCUGCGGAGGUCAAGGUCAGCGCUCAAGAUCCGUGCCGGUAACUAUACUUAGCUGAAUCCGGUUAGACUGGAAGCCGACCCCAACAUAGGUCUUGAUUCCGUCUGGCACUUGUCCUGUUCUAUUUCACUUAUAAAUACUAUCGUUGACAAUAAUCUUUAAUAGGAAACAUCGGCCAUUUUAUAAUUAAUUACUUCUUUUAACACAGAGGGCGCUUCAAAUAGUUACAAUGAUAGCACACAUUAAUUUUGUAAGGAAUGGCCAACCCAGAGUAUUUUAAUAGAAAGGAAAUAUCAUUUAUUUCAAUUAUAGAUAACCUUUUAAUAGAAUCAGCAUUGAAAAUAAAUGAUGCACAUCAAAUUUAAUAAAAUAUA